rnacentral:lncRNA from 1 species
AUUUCACACCACAAUAAUUUGAAGAGAAAAAAUCAGGCGAUUCGGAGAUGAUUCGGACCGUUGACGGCGAGCAAGUAGAACUGCACCGACAAAACCACUUGCCCACUUGAAUGGAACCCUUUUCUCACCAUUUGAAGAGAACAAAUCAGGCGAUUCGCACCAUUCUCCACACGAUUGAACUGGUCGGACCGUCAACGGCGAGCAAGUAGACUACUAACUACCAACAGCACGACAAGUACGAACUAUUGUAAGGGCGUCUAUCCUUUGUUAUCCUCUUUUUGUACUAAAGGAGUUCGAUCUAAAAUCCAUACAUUUCUCGAAUUUGACAGAACAACUCGCCCGUGUCUCCACCCGUUCUACAAAAUCGAUCUGGGCUUACCUUCGAUGGCGAGCACUUGUGACUGCAGACUAAAGGUUUUUCUUAAGGACUGGGACUUCGGCACAUUCCGGUAAUUUCUUCAGAACUUCGGUUACCUUCGACGACGAGCACUUUGUUGUGUUUUAAGUUGAUUUCAAUUACUGGAUUAAGAGCAGGAAUGCUUGUAUUUUUUUUGGGAUUCGUCUUUUCUUUUGCAAGAAGCACUGGUUUUUUUCAUUAUUUGAAGCAAAUGUGUUACAAUAUUGACGCCAUGAAGUUGUUCCAGAAAUGAUGAUUUGCUGGCCUAAUAAAUAGGAAACAGAUUUAGUGAAGGAACCAUUUUUCCCUCUGCAUCGUUUUUCCCUGUGCUUGUAUGAAUACUGUAUGCCAUGUUCUGUUCUGGUGAUAUAUUUGGGAAAAAUGCAG